rnacentral:lncRNA from 1 species
AACCGCCUCUACCUUACACAUAUAGACUAAAAUAAAAUUUAGUAAAAAAAUAUUAUUUGUAAUCAGUAAAAAAAAAAUUAUAAAAUAUGGUUAAGGGCAACUUUGGAAUAGCUAGACUAUACUUUAUUGUCUAGAUUACUAAAUUUUAUAGAUAGAACCAAACAUAUUAAUGCUAUAACCACUGCAAUCCAGUAUUAUAUUACUGUAUUAAACCAAACGCGCUAAUGCAGCAUAACUAGUAAUAUCUUUUAGAUAUCCAAGAUACCUAGAUAUAUCGAAAUACUCUGCAAUAUUAUAUAACUUGAACCAAACGCGCCCUAUAAGGUAAAAAAGUUAUAUUAUUACUUGUUUUAACCUGCAUUUUAUUGACAAAUGUAUUAUCGUAAAUAUUAACACAAAUCAAAUAUUAUAUUUCUCACCAAAUAAAUAAUGAUAAUUUAAUAUUUAAUUUAAAAAAUAUAUUAACAAUACAAAAAUUACAACAAUUUUCUACAAGCAUUAAACCGAUUCUUUAACAUGUGAUCCAAAUACAAUCUCAUUCAAUAUAUAUCCAAUAGUAGCACCACACUAAAUAAAAGAAAGUUUAAAUAGUUUUAAAAAUAGUUAACAGUUGAGUUUUCAAUAAUUGAUAAAAAUUUAAAUAGUUUGAUAGUUUUCUUCAUUUUU